UACAGAGGUGGCAAGCGUUGUUCGGAUUUAUUGGGCGUAAAGGGUCUGUAGGCGGUUCGGAAAGUCAGAUGUGAAAUCCUACAGCUUAACUGUAGAACUGCAUUUGAAACUUCCGGACUAGAGUAUGAGAGGGGUUAAGGGAAUUCCCGGUGUAAGGGUGAAAUCUGCAGAGAUCGGGAGGAACACCAGUCGCGAAGGCGCUUAACUGGCUCAUUACUGACGCUCAGGGACGAAAGCUAGGGGAGCAAACGGG
rnacentral:rRNA from 1 species